UACGUAGGGUGCAAGCGUUGUCCGGAAUUAUUGGGCGUAAAGAGCUCGUAGGCGGUUUGUCGCGUCUGCUUUGAAAAUCCAGGGCUUAACCCUGGACCUGCAGUGGGUACGGGCAGACUGGAGUGCGGUAGGGGAGAUCGGAAUUCCUGGUGUAGCGGUGAAAUGCGCAGAUAUCAGGAGGAACACCGGUGGCGAAGGCGGAUCUCUGGGCCGUAACUGACGCUGAGGAGCGAAAGCAUGGGGAGCGAACAGG
rnacentral:rRNA from 1 species